rnacentral:rRNA from 1 species
UACGAAGGGGGCUAGCGUUGCUCGGAAUCACUGGGCGUAAAGCGCACGUAGGCGGAUUGUUAAGUCAGGGGUGAAAUCCUGGAGCUCAACUCCAGAACUGCCUUUGAUACUGACGAUCUCGAGUCCGGGAGAGGUGAGUGGAACUGCGAGUGUAGAGGUGAAAUUCGUAGAUAUUCGCAAGAACACCAGUGGCGAAGGCGGCUCACUGGCCCGGUACCGACGCUGAGGUGCGAAAGCGUGGGGAGCAAACAGG